rnacentral:rRNA from 1 species
GAUACCCCUGUAGUCCUGGCCGUAAACGAUGAACACUAGGUGUCGGGGGAAUCGACCCCCUCGGUGUCGUAGCCAACGCGUUAAGUGUUCCGCCUGGGGAGUACGCACGCAAGUGUGAAACUCAAAGGAAUUGACGGGGGCCCGCACAAGCGGUGGAGUAUGUGGUUUAAUUCGAUGCAACGCGAAGAACCUUACCAGGGUUUGACAUCCUGCGAAUCCCUUGGAAACGAGGGAGUGCCUUCGGGAACGCAGUGACAGGUGGUGCAUGGCUGUCGUCAGCUCGUGUCGUGAGAUGUUGGGUUAAGUCCCGCAACGAGCGCAACCCACGUCUUUAGUUGCCAGCAUUUAGUUGGGCACUCUAGAGAGACUGCCGGUGAUAAACCGGAGGAAGGUGUGGAUGACGUCAAGUCAUCAUGCCCCUUACAUCCUGGGCUACACACGUACUACAAUGCUACGGACAAAGGGCAGCAAACUCGCGAGAGCUAGCAAAUCCCAUAAACCGUGGCUCAGUUCAGAUCGUAGGCUGCAACUCGCCUACGUGAAGGAGGAAUCGCUAGUAAUCGCAGGUCAGCAUACUGCGGUGAAUACGUUCCCGGGCCUUGUACACACCGCCCGUCACACCAUGGAAGUUGGCCACGCCCGAAGUCGUUACUCCAACCCUUGUGGAGGAGGAUGCCGAAGGUGGGGCUGAUGACUGGGGUGAAGUCGUAACAAGGUAGCCGUACCGGAAGGUGC